CUGAGCUUUCUAUUUCUAGACAAAUAUGCCCUACAAAUCAGAAAGCUAAUUUGCUGUUUGUUAGCAAAUGCCAGAUGUUAUACUGCAGCUCAGCAGAAGAAAUCUGUGGUUUUCCACACAACUUCUGACAACUCCGACAAUCCAUUUUGAGGAAUGAACUCUCUGUAACAGUGAUAGCUCCAGGCUGACAGGAAGCUGCACAGCUGGAGGCAGUGCAUCAGAGUAACAGUGGUAUGUGGCUUUUGGUCGACUGUGGAGAAUGGGCAAAGCAAGGCCACAUCUGACUGCUGCAGGCCGCGCAGACAUACCCCGGGGGCAUAAACCAGCAAGCUGUUUCAUGUGGCCUCCCCUUCCCCCAGCAUACAGCAGACUAGAAACCCAGCAUCACAGCACUCCAGCAGAUGGAUAAAAAAACAACAAAGCCAAGCUGAGAGCUAUGCCCAGCAGCUCUUAAACUGUAGCAAAGGCCUGCAUGGGACCAUUUUUCAGUGGGGCGUGAGGAGGGCAGGAGCAGCCAAGGGAAAUGUGCUGGCUGCCAAGUGAUGGUGGGAGAUGG
ensembl:lncRNA